rnacentral:lncRNA from 1 species
CCGCCGCUUUGCCCAGGGGGCGCAAGGAGCUCUUCCUGGUGUUCACCAUGGCCCCGGGGAGGGGGACACGGGGGGGCCCCGCCGCCGCCGCCGCCGCCGCUGUUGCUGCCGCUGCCGCCGGCGCGGAGGGAGGAGGGAGGGCGGACAGGCGGGGGCUCGGGCAGGGAGGGGAAGGGAAGGGGAGGGGGAAGAAGGAGAAGUCCUCUGGGGACGCCGCUCCGCCGGGCAGAGACACCAGACAGAACCGCGCCGACUCCUCCCGCCGCUGCCGCCGCCUCCUCGGCUCAGCCCCGCACUAGCCGGCCGCCAUUACUGCCCCUUCUCCCUUUCUCUCCUCUCCGCGCCGCCACCCCGGCUGUUGCCGCGGGGGGGCGCUGCGGCGCCGCCGCCGCCGCGCGCAGGGCCGAGGCGGCCCCCGCUGCGUACGUUCUAGCACGGCGCCGGCGCCGCUCUAUGGGCCUGGCGCGAGCCGGGGGCACGGCGGGGGGGGGCGAGAGGCGGCCGAUCCAACAGUCACGUUACAGAGGGCCAAAGAUUUGUAUCUAUUACACUACGUCGGAUGCCUGAGCGCUUUUCAAACUGUUCACAAACACUGACGUGCAGCAAGAAAUCCUCCUUGUGCCACCAGCUGCUGGCCUUCAUUGAACUGAGACACAACGCAUUUAUUAGAAAAGAAGAUGAAUGUAACCAAAACUUAUACUGAGAAGAGGCGAGGACAUCUGCUGUGGCAGGUACACCACUGACAAAUUGGAAGACCAUGAAAAAGUGCUUGAGAAGAAUCCCUUUUGCUCAACGAGACUUGGGGAAUUAAGUCUUACUGGGACUCGGUGACAUAAAAAGACAUUAAAAGAUGAGCCAGGAUAAAGAAGAAUGGAAAUCCUUGUUUAUUCCAUAAGUAAGAUUUAAUGUCAUGGGAAAUACUUGGAGAUGGAAGAUUCUGUUGCCACCUGUUCCUGUUUUAUAAGGAAAUCAGGAACACAUGAUAACAAAAGAAAAAGUGCUUCAUCAUUUAUUAGAACUUUUGUAGAGACUUUCAUCCCAGUAGGGACCAGAGGGCUUUUUUCAGUGAAAUCCUAUUUGCUUCAAUCAUAGGCAAUUUAUCAGAGAUUACUUUGUAAUAUCUCUGAAUAGCUGUAACAUUCCAAAGAAUGGAAAUUAAAUCAUCUUUUCAGGACUCUACUUAUAAGCUCUUGUGUGCUUCUUUCUGUCAUGCUGUCAACUCAUCCUGGUUUCAGCUGAAUCUCAAAAUAAAUAGAUUCAGAAGAGAUUAUGCUUUUGUACGUGUGCUCUAUGUCCUUUCUUGAAAGAAUUUUAGGAAAUUGAGAUGGAAUGGCUUCUCUCUUGAGAACUGUCCACUGUGCAAAUAGGCCCUUGGGAAACAUCAAACGAGGGCAUGCUAGCCCGGAUUGGUCCCACCUUACACCUGAACACACAAAGUAAGUCCCUCCACAUUGCACGUGCUUUGCAGUGAUAUUAAAGUGACCCAUUCUUAAUAAUAACGUUUUAGAAAUUAACUUUGAAUGUUCGGUUCUAAUGUUCAGCUGAAUAUUGCUUUCCAAACUACGAUAGGUAACAUAACUGCAGCUUGAAGUGGUAUCAGAGAGCAGAUUUCUUACAUGACGUUAAAUAGGAGUGAUAAGAACUGCCUCCUGAUAUUUCAAAAUUAG